rnacentral:sRNA from 1 species
UUAGUCCUGGGGCUGACAUCUGCUAUGGAAUAGCUAAUGUACAGACAGCAGCAGCACAAUCUUUCCCCAUAUUGUUCAGCCUCUAUGCCUCAACCCUGAUCUGGAAGGACCACCUCUAGGGCUGAAAUUGUAGUUCACCCUCAUAGUUAGCCCCUGGUCUCU